UCAGGCGGGACUACCCGCUGAGUUUAAGCAUAUCAAUAAGCGGAGGAAAAGAAACUAACAAGGAUUCCCCUAGUAAUGGCGAAUGAAGCGGGAACAGCUCAAAUUUGAAAUCUCUGCAGCCUCUGCAGCGAAUUGUAGUUUAGAGAAGCGCGUUCGGGCACGGGCGGGGAGCAAGUCUGCUGGAAGGCAGCAUCACAGAGGGUGAGAAUCCCGUCUGCGGCCCCGCCGUCGUGUCCACUGUGACGCGUUUUCCAAGAGUCAGGUAGUUCGGGAUUGCUGCCUAAAGCGGGUGGUAAAUACCAUCUAAAGCUAAAUACUGGCGAGAGACCGAUAGCGAACAAGUACCGUGAGGGAAAGAUGAAAAGAACUUUGGAAAGAG
rnacentral:rRNA from 1 species